CUUCGCCCAGGAUUGAGAACGUUGGAGACGAUUGGUCACCUCUCUUGGGGAAUAUUUUCUUUCCUUCAACCAUCCAGUCAUUCAACUUUUUUCUCAUACUGGCUCAUUUAGACAAAUAUGCAAUGGUUGCACAGGGCUGGUUAGAUCACUCCACUAUGGUAUUGUCUUGUAAUCUAACUUCACCACAACAUAAUCAACAAGAUAUGGCCAGAACAACAGCCAGGUGCUGCCAGACGGGUUUAUAGAUUGUCCGGUUGGACCAUCUGAAGAGCUAAUCCCAGCAUGAAUUCAGCCUUCCUUAGGGAAGAAUAGUUUGCC